rnacentral:ncRNA from 1 species
AAAAAUGACUGAUAGAAAAGAGUAUUCAAGUGGCUGUUACAGAGAAAAAUGGUGUAGCUGAGACCCAUUUUACAUCAAGCUUGGAGAAAUUCACUUCUAUCUUAUGCUGAUUGGCAUAUUCAUUGUUUCACUAAAAUUGAGACCGGUAUACACCGUUAUGUAAGAGUGCAAACUAGGCUAGCUUAGUUUGAACUAGGGUGGUACCGCGAAUGGCCUCGUCCCUUUA